CAACUCUUAGCGGUGGAUCACUCGGCUCGUGCG
rnacentral:rRNA from 1 species